AACGAACGCUAGCGGUGUGGAUUAGGCAUGCAAGUCGCGCGCGAAAGCCUUCGGGCGAGUAAAGCGGCGAAAGGGUGAGUAACACGUAACCAACGUACCCCUCAGACUGGGAUAACCACUGGAAACGGUGGAUAAUACCGGAUGGUCCACUGGGCAGCAUUGCCUGGCUGGUAAACGGCGGCCGCAAGGCGGUUGCUGAGGGAGCGGGUUGCGGCCUAUCAGCUUGUUGGUGAGGUAACGGCUCACCAAGGCUAUGACGGGUAACAGGUCUGAGAGGAUGAUCUGUCACACUGGGACUGAGACACUGCCCAGACUCCUACGGGAGGCUGCAGUCGAGAAUCUUCCACAAUGGGCGAAAGCCUGAUGGAGCGACACCGCGUGCAGGAUGAAGGCC
rnacentral:rRNA from 1 species